GGGGACGAUCGGUUUCGACGAUGUGAGUUGAGGUAAGGGAAGCGUGCCGAGGACGCAAAGUCAUCUCGUAAACGCCCUUUGCAAUCAAUUAAGUGCCGAAUCUAAGCGCACUGACUUCGCUCUCGCUGCCUAAUCAGUGAUCGAGUCCGUCAGCCCGGGAAUGCUAUCGGCCCGGUGUCUGGCGUCGAUUAGAUAGCCACUGUUCGUUGACCCUGUCGGGGGAAUCAACGAAGACCUGAAGCCGACUAGACCUGAACGAUCGCCUGUCUGUGGGACGAUCGAGGUCGAUAAAACUUCAGAACAGACUGCGCACGGAGAAGCCUACUGAAGUUCACAUCGGACCCGGGUUCGAUUCCCGGCGUCUCCACCC
rnacentral:tmRNA from 3 species